rnacentral:tmRNA from 18 species
GGGGCCGUUACGGAUUCGACAUGUGUAGGUGAGCGUGAAUUGCACUUCGUAGGUUACGUCUGCGUUAACAACGUUACAGUUAAUUAUAACUGCAAACAAUAACAAUUCUUACGCUGUAGCUGCCUAAACACCAGCAUAGCGUGAUCCGUCUGACUUCACCCAAGGGUUAGAUCCGGGUCUCAAAUUAAUUGGGUUACGUUAAAUGCCGCCGUUUGAAGUGUUUAAAAGAGAUUUUCAAGCUAGUUAGUCCAUCCGAGCCUCUGUUGAACGGCGUUUUGGGCUAGCGAAUUUCUAAAUAGUUCGACUAUGAGUGUAGAGAUUGACGUGGCAAUGCGCAUGGACGCGGGUUCAACCCCCGCCGGCUCCAUUG